UACGAAGGGGGCUAGCGUUGCUCGGAAUCACUGGGCGUAAAGGGAGCGUAGGCGGCGUGGUAAGUCAGAUGUGAAAUCCCGGGGCUCAACCCCGGAACUGCAUCCGAUACUGCCAUGCUUGAGGGUUGGAGAGGUAGCUGGAAUUCUCGGUGUAGCAGUGAAAUGCGUGGAUAUCGAGAGGAACACUCGUGGCGAAGGCGAGCUACUGGACAACAUCUGACGCUGAGGCUCGAAGGCUAGGGGAGCAAAAGGG
rnacentral:rRNA from 1 species